AAUCAUUACAGAUCAGACACAUGCUGACCGCUAUUUAUUCUCCCCAAGCAAACGCAUCUGAACGCGUGAACAGGUCUAUCAUUUCGGCGAUUCGAGCAUAUUUGAAAGAAGAUCAGAGAGAUUGGGACAAGAAUGUGGCUGCAAUUAGUUGUGCGUUAAGGAACUCUCUACAUCAGAGCAUUAAAGUUUCACCUUACCGAGCGAUCUACGGCAUGGAAAUGAUAACACAUGGAUCCGAAUAUGAACUAUUACGAAAAUUAAAUCUUCUAGAAGAGUCCGUACAUCCUCUUAAGAGAGAAGAUAAAUUGGCUUUAUUAAGAACCGGGAUUAAGAGAAAUAUUACAAACGCUUAUGAAAAACAGGCAAAGCAGUAUAACCUACGUGCUAAGGAAGUUCGUUAUCAUGUAGGACAAGAAGUUUUUAGAAGAAACUUUGUACAAAGUAAUUUUGAGAAAAAUAUCGCAAGCAAAUUGUGUCCAUCAUUUGUUAAAGCUCGAGUGCGAGAAAAGGUUGGAAAUUCUACUUAUGUCUUAGAAGACUUAAAAGGCAAUUUAAUAGGAAAGGUGCAUGCGAAAGACAUAAGGCAAUAACAGAUUUCAGGUUAAUCUGCCCUAUGUAAAACAUGGCUGAUUACCCUGUGGUGUGCUGUGCAUGGUUCUCAAAAAAAAAAAAAAAAGAGAAAAAUUUGGUUUUUAAUUUUUCGUAGAAUUCGUAUAAAUUGUUAUCGAUUUGGCGGGAAAUUUAAGCUCAUUACGUUAGGAGAUACACUCGCGAGUUUCACAACACAGUCAGCUGGGAAGAAAGCUCGUAAACUCGAUCGUUUUGAGUGGAGCGAGAAUAGGUUCUUGUCGAGCUCAGCGAAUUUUCUCUUCCUAUUUGAUCGUACCAGCGUAACUGACCAGACCUAAUUUUUCGUAUCGAAAUUAAAUUACGCGCUUAACCCAGGCUAAUAGUAUAAGUCCUAAAUAUUCAAAGAGCAAUCUCGAAAUAUUUAAGGCAUCCGUGGGAAUUUUAAAUAAAUCUUCGAAAAGAAUUGUUUUGAAAGUGGUCUAUAGUUCGGCCAGAACAGAUUUUGGUUCAAAGCAGGCGCUUUUAAAACAUUGCUGUGCCCAACAAAAACAUAGCGAAGGAAAAUAAAGAAAAAGACCAGAUCAGGGUCAAGUCAGGGGCAGAAGAACCCGUGGAAAGGGCCGAGCUCCCCGACGCAACUUUCUUUGGCAGACCAGCAGCCGCAGCAACGUUACAUAUGCGCAGUCUGAGUUUGUUCGAUUGACAUUAGCGGGAGAGCAGGGUUAACGACCGGAGCAGAACGUUUGGAAAACGGAAUACCGGAGACAAGCAGAAGAAGGCGAAGCAGCAGCAAUUAGUGAAUUAGUGAAAAUUUAGGGUUGAGUAAAAGAAAUUCGCAAUUACAUCAAAAAGAAGACAUGUAAACGAAUAGGCACGUUCAAGAUCACCAACACAUGUACAACCGGACAAAAGAAUAAAGUGUAAAGUAACUAAGACAUGCAAAGUGAGUGAAAAGGCAGAGUGAAAAUAACCCAGUGAAGCGAGACUUGUAAUGCUCUAUCACCCCAAACUAAUUACCUAAAAUCAAUAAAAAAAAAAAAAAUCAAACCGAUCUUCUAGAAGGCCUUCUACGAUAAAUCUGGGUGAG